rnacentral:rRNA from 1 species
AGAGUUGAUCCUGGCUCAGGAUAAACGCUGGCGGCGUGCAUGAGACAUGCAAGUCAAACGGGCCUUCAGGGCUUGCUCUGGUGGCCAGUGGCGGACGGCUGAGUAACGCGUAGGUGACCUGCCCCGAAGUGGGGAAUAACUGCCUGAAAGGGUGGCUAAUACCGCAUGUGGUGAUGCGUUCAUUCGCAUCAGUAAAGCCGCAAGGCGCUUCGGGAGGGGCCUGCGUCCGAUUAGCUCGUUGGUGGGGUAACGGCUCACCAAGGCGACGAUCGGUAGGUGGUCUGAGAGGACGAUCACCCAGACUGGGACUGAGACACGGCCCAGACUCCUACGGGAGGCAGCAGUCGGGAAUUUUGCGCAAUGGACGAAAGUCUGACGCAGCAACGCUGCGUGAGGGAUGAAGGCCUUCGGGUUGUAAACCUCUUUUCUCAGGGAAGAUAGUGACGGUACCUGAGGAAUAAGUCACGGCUAACUACGUGCCAGCAGCCGCGGUAAUACGUAGGUGGCUAGCGUUGUCCGGAUUUACUGGGCGUAAAGAGCGCGCAGGCGGUCGUUCAAGUCGAGUGUGAAAGCCCCCGGCUCAACUGGGGAGGGUCACUCGAUACUGAUCGACUCGAAGGCAGGAGAGGGAAGCGGAAUUCCCGGUGUAGUGGUGAAAUGCGUAGAUAUCGGGAGGAACACCAGUGGCGAAGGCGGCUUUCUGGCCUGUUCUUGACGCUGAGGCGCGAAAGCUAGGGUAGCAAACGGGAUUAGAUACCCCGGUAGUCCUAGCCGUAAACGAUGGACACUAGGUGUUGGUGGUAUCAACCCCGCCAGUGCCGAAGC